rnacentral:rRNA from 1 species
UAGGGAAUCUUCGGCAAUGGACGAAAGUCUGACCGAGCAACGCCGCGUGAGUGAAGAAGGUUUUCGGAUCGUAAAACUCUGUUGGUAGAGAAGAACGUUGGUGAGAGUGGAAAGCUCAUCAAGUGACGGUAACUACCCAGAAAGGGACGGCUAACUACGUGCCAGCAGCCGCGGUAAUACGUAGGUCCCGAGCGUUGUCCGGAUUUAUUGGGCGUAAAGCGAGCGCAGGUGGUUUAUUAAGUCUGGUGUAAAAGGCAGUGGCUCAACCAUUGUAUGCAUUGGAAACUGGUAGACUUGAGUGCAGGAGAGGAGAGUGGAAUUCCAUGUGUAGCGGUGAAAUGCGUAGAUAUAUGGAGGAACACCGGUGGCGAAAGCGGCUCUCUGGCCUGUAACUGACACUGAGGCUCGAAAGCGUGGGGAGCAAACAGGAUUAGAUACCCUGGUAGUCCACGCCGUAAACGAUGAGUGCUAGAUGUAGGGAGCUAUAAGUUCUCUGUAUCGCAGCUAACGCAAUAAGCACUCCGCCUGGGGGAGU